rnacentral:rRNA from 1 species
AGGGGACCUGAGAGGGUGGCCCCCCACAAUGGAACUGAAACACGGUCCAUACACCUACGGGUGGCAGCAGUAGGGAAUAUUGGUUAAUCUGGGAAACCGGGAACCAUCAACCCCGCGUGCGCGAUGAAGGCCUUCGGGUUGUAAAGCGCUUUUAGAGAGGAUGAGGAAGGACAGUACUCUCUGAAUAAGCCUCGGCUAACUACGUGCCAGCAGCCGCGGUAAAACGUAGGAGGCGAGCGUUAUCCGGAUUUACUGGGCGUAAAGCGCGUGUAGGCGGUUUGAUAAGUUGGAUGUGAAAGCUCCUGGCUUAACUGGGAGAGGUCGUUCAAAACUGUCAGACUUGAGAGUGGUAAAGGGAGGUGGAAUUCCGGGUGUAGUGGUGAAAUGCUUAAAUAUCCGGAGGAACACCA